UUCACUGUUUUCCUUUGUUUCUUCCUGUUCUCAUUUCUCUGGCUGAACGUAGUGUUUGGCUAAAGUUUUUCCACAGACAGAGGGCAAGCAGAGGGUGUGGGGGGCAAGGACCACAGGGUCCUGCUUCAUUUCAUUAAUACCUGUUUUUCUCUCCUUGCUUAUGGAAAAGGGACUGACAGAGGACUGGAAGGAAGUGAAGAGAUGGCCGAGUCUAAUCACUUAUUCAUGUGGUUGAAUAACUUCAGUUGCAAAAUGUUCAAGCAACUUUCCCAAGGUCGUGUAACUGAUUAAUGACAGAGCUGAUCUAAAAAGGAUGCUUUGCCCAGAAGGCAAGAAGAACCAUUCCUCAGAAGUCAAGAAUAUCAACCACCAGCUGAGUCAAGAGGGUUCAUAGUUGGCCACCAAAAUGGGUGACCCAGUUGAAGAUACCAAAACACCAGGUGAGGAAGUUAACUACAUGAAGACCAGACUAUAUCCAGGAAUUGAGCUGUCACGAUUCUGAGAACUGACCACAAGGAAAUGGGAACAAGCACACCCCAGAACUGAAGAUUAAUUGCCUGAAACAACCAAGACGAUGCUAGUCAGACUGCUGAUGACCAGUUUGAGGAUGACUGUGCUGUUUCUAUGUAACCUCCCCUCCCACUCUGUCCAUAACGGCUCUCACCCCCUUGUCGGGGGUGGGAGUAGUGGAGUCGGCCUUUGGAAGCUGUCUGCCACCAUUCCCCCCGCCCCAGUUGCCAGCAUCUGAAAUAAAUCAAACUUUCCUUUCUACCAACCUGGCCUGCUUAUUGGCUUUUGAGUGGUG